rnacentral:rRNA from 1 species
UAGCCAUAAACUUUGACCCCCCCCAUCCGCCCGAGUACUACGAGCAACAGCUUAAAACUCAAAGGACUUGGCGGUGCUCUACACCCCCCUAGAGGAGCCUGUUCUAUAAUCGAUAAUCCACGAUAAACCUCACCACUUAUUGCCAAUACAGCCUAUAUACCACCGUCCAGCCCACCCUUCAAGGGACCAAAAGUAGGCACAAUUAUACACAUAAAAACGUCAGGUCAAGGUGUAGCAAAUAAAGCGGGAAGAAAUGGGCUACAUUUUCUAACCUAGAAAACACGGAAAAGUUUAUGAAAUAAAACUACGAAGGAGGAUUUAGCAGUAAAAAGAAAAAAGAGCGUUCUUUUUAAACCGGCAAUGG